UUGAGUCAUGGGGGCUCUUUCUGCAUGCUGUUCUCAUGAUAGUGAGUGAGUUCUCCCAACAUCUAAUGGUUUUAUAAGUGUUUGGUAGUUCCUCUUGCAUUCAUUCUCUUUCUUGCCGCCUUGUGAAGAAGGUGACUUGCUUCCCUUUUGCCUUCUACCAUGACUGAGGCCUUCCCAGCAUACUGAACUUCCCCAGAUAGCAGAUGACUGGUAGGAAGAUGAGGCAAGUUUGCGGUCCAUUGUCAUGGAUAGUGGAGACAACACUGGGCCAGAAGUGGUAAGACCUGAAUCCAAGACUCAGCUCUGCCACUUGCUAAAUGGGACUUUGAAUAAACCAUUUCUCUGCACUUAAGUUCCUUACCAACAAAACGAGGGAAGUGGCCUACAUGCCUAGAUAUCAACAUUUCAUGUCACGUAGAGAUCUAGCAUCACAAGAAUCCAAGUCAUCCUCUGUUGCCUUUAAGGAACUGGACCAAGGGAAGAGGACACAGAAGGUAAAAGGAAGCCAGACCAGCAUGUUCUCCCACUCUAGUGCUCCUACCAAGAGGCUUUGAUAAGCAAUCACAAUUGUCCCCAGUGACAUGAAAGAAAAAGUGAAGCACCCUGUAGGGAUGCAUAGCAUGACAUCUACGUAGACUUGGGUCAUGGAAGGAAACUGUCACCACAUACAAGUUCAAGGGAAAUGUUCAGCCUCCAGGUGUGGAGCGUGUACAGGAAUGAAGCUGCUCACCCAGGACUUAUGCUUUGCACCUUUGUGCUCCUCACAUAUGGCCAUGUGCCCGUCCCCCCGUCCCCCACCCCACCAAUGGCAUCUGUGCAGAGUGAUAUGCGCCACUUCCAGGCUGGAUAUUUACACUGUGGUUACCUUCUGUCCCUUUUCUCUGCAUCAGCCGCUGAAUGAAGCUCUGCCCAGGCCUUAGGAAAAGGUGAAACCCCAACUAGCAGGGGCCCCAGUUCACCAUAUCCAGGAAGGUGUCCUUGAACCAGAAAUACCCACGUUGUACUCCGACAUGAACAAGAAAUAGAUUUCUAUUAUAUUAAGCAACAGAAAUUUUCAGAUAUAUCAGUUCUCGCAGCAGGAAGGAUGUAUUGAUAAUGGCAACAUGGAUGGAGCUCAAAACAUCACAUUUAAUGAAAAAAGAGACUUACAUAAAAAAAUUAUAGACUAUAUUAUUACAUUCAAAUGAAGUUCAAGAACAAGCAAAAGUUGUGGAAAAAUAUCAGAAAACUUGCUUCUGCUGGAGGGGUAGGAUGGGAUUUGACUGGGAAGAGGCCUAGGGGAACAUGCUGGAAUGAUAUUAAUGUUCUAUUUCUUGAUGGAGGUUUGGGUUCCACAGGUGUAUGUAUUUGCUAAAAGUUAGCAAAUGUAGAGUUAAGGUUUGUGUUCUUCCUUGUGCAAUACAUUUUACACCAAAGGAAAGGCUGUAAACAAAUAUUGAACUGUAGUUAAUCAUAUGUAUGGAGAAAAACUUAAGGAAAAGACUUAUGAAUGCCUCAAGUUUAUUUAAAAAAGCAUUAAAAAUAAGAUUAAACAGGUAUUUAUGGAUAAACUACUGAAACUGAGAGAUAUUAACAGUAAAUAGUCAAAAUGUUCACUGUAAGAAUGAAAUUGAAAGGGAUUUGAACCCAGGUCUGUUUCACUGUAAAUCCUUGCUCCUGUGCUCUCUCAUGUUUAUUGGAAUUCAUGGGUAGAAAAUUUAAAUGCUCUGAAUCACUAUGAGAAGAAAGAUUCAGGAAAAAAAAAUGAAAGGCUAGAUUUCCAAAGAUAAGCCAGGUAAAUAUCAUGGAGAGUUGCAACAAUGUACUGCUAAUUAACUCUAAUACUUAGAGCUAAUGUCGAGUUUUCUGAGGGUUGUGACAUUCAUACAUGACUAAUUAACCUACACAGCAAAUCCAUUUCACUAGCUGCCAUGACACAGCCAAUCAAGACUAGCUCACUGUUUGCUCAUUUGGAAAAUGAUGAGGAUUCCCAUUUAGACUUAAUUACACUACAAAGAUUGACAAUUAUCUUCUCUAUAGAAGCAUCAGAUGUUUCGAUAUUAUACUGAACAUGUGCCUAUAAUUAUGUCCAUAAUUUGUCUAGCAGAAAAUGUAACCCAGUCAUUACUGAGAUCUUAUGCCUGUAAUUAGAUAUCAAAAAAAAAAUACCAAAUGGGAAAAGUGGGUUGUUGGGAUGUUAGGACCAUUACAAUGUGAGAAUCUGUAUGAAGCUAUUAGUGGGAACUCAGUAGCAACCAACAUCUCUUGGAUUGCUGCCCUCUAUUAAAAAUAAUCAGGAAGUGUGAGAGAGGGGAAAAUGAUGGCAGAGUAAAACCAUAGUACAAUCGCUUUUCCAAUACUUGACUGCAGUCAUUAAAAAUCCCAUAGGCACCUCAAAUUCAACACAUUUGAAACCGACUCAUUAGCCACCUUUGCCCCACUAUAGCUACUCCUUUUCCUGUGUUUGCUUUCUUAGACGAUUGCAAAGCAUUGUAGAGUCAUCUGCAACAAUUGUUCUCUCACUCCUUUCUCCUAAUCAAACCUCCGUGAUUCUGAUUACUAAUUUUUUCUAAGUGUGUUGCUCCUCUCUAUGCUGUGACUCUUCCAUUGUCUGCCUUCAUCAUCCUUGUAUGGUCAAUUUCAAGAGCACGUAUAAGAACGGUGCUGCAUCUGAAUGUUCACUCAUAAGUGGGAGUUGAACAAUGAGAACACAUGGACACAGGGAGGGGAACAUCACACGCUGGGGCCAAGCGGAGGGAGAGCAUUAGGACAAAUACCUAAUGCAUGUGGGGCUUAAAACCUAGAUGAUGGGUUGAUGGGUACAGCAAACCACUAUGGCACAUGUAUACCUAUCUAACAAGCCUGCAUGUUCUGCACGUGUAUUCCAGAACUUAAAGUAUAAUAAUAAUAAAAGAAGAAUGGUGCCGCUUUCCUCAAAUGUCUCCACCGUGUCACUUAUCUUCUGAAUUUCUCCCAGUAUGAUCAUCUCUAAUCACGAAUCUCAUUAUGCCACUCUGCCAUUCAGAAGAGUUGAGUGUGUCCACCUCUUUCCUAACAGCAUUUGGCAGAACACAGAAAGUAUGUUUUGUUUUUCAUUGAAUUUUGUGCCAGCUUCACGCUGGCCUGCCCCAGUCUGUAAUUUAGGCUAGCUCCAUUAUAUGGUUUACUAAUUAUGUAAUGUGACAUGCUCAUUAUUUCAGUUAUCUCUUGCAGGACAACUGGCUACCCCAAAAUUUAAUAGCUAAAAGCAAUCAUUUUUAUUUUGCUAAUGAUUUUUUGGGGUAAGGAAUGUAGAAACGGCUCCAAAGGGUGGUCGUUUCUGAUCAAUAUUGCAUCAGCUGGGGUGGAAGAAUCUUCUUCAAAAUAGCUUCUUUACUCACAUCUGGUGCCUUAGGGCUUCUUGACCUCUCUCUCUCUUCAUGUGGCUUCUCAUCCUCCAGGCUUUCUUCACUUGGCUUACCUUCUUGCAGCAAGGGUAUCUAAAAGAAGUCUCACUUUUUACACGGAAGCUAGAUUCCAAGAGGCAGGCAGUAGAAACUGCGCAGCUAGCUAAAGGCUAUAACAGAAAAAGGCAUGGCAACACUUCUACCAUAGUCUAUUAGUGAAGGCAGUUCCCAAGACCCUCAGAUUUAAGAGCACAGAGAAAUAGAUCCCAAUUCUAGAUGGGAAAAUGUCCAGGUCACGUUGAAGAAGAGCACAUAGGGCAAGAGACACUGUUGCACCUGUAUUUGCAAAAGUAAAUCUAUAUGCAUGCUAUUUCAUUCUUCUAAAAUACUGAGUGGCUGUAGCUCUCAACGCUAAUCGCUCUGUCUAUCCUACUCAAAUGCACUUCGGAGCAAUUGCUCAACUUUGCACAUUCUCUACGCAACCUCUCUCCAAAAUGCCCCUACAAUACUUAGUGUAAUCUCUUUUAUGUUAGAGUGGAACACCAUUGUCUAUUUACUGACAUAUUUAUCUCUCCCGCCAGAAUAUAAGGAUAAGCUCAUGUCUUAUUUACUUUAGAAUACCUUUUGUGUAACACAGAUGCUGGCAUAUAGUAGAUAUUAAAUACAUGUUCUAUUGAUCACAAGACUAAUAAAAGGAAUAAAUAAAUUGUCCUAUUCAUACAUGUAUUAUCUAUGCCUGGGGUACUUCCUGGAACAAGUUUAGUACCUGGUGAUUAUCAGCUUCCAAGAUGGCCCCCAAUAGUCUCCACCUCCUGAAUUCACACUCUUUGUAGUUCCUUCCUGCAUUGUGCCAGAGUUGGUCAAUGUGACCAACAGGAUAUAGUAGAAGGGAUGGUAUUAUGCUAUAAAAGACGUUCAAUUUUUAUCUCUUUCUCUCUCAUAAUUCACCCUGAGAGAAACCAGCUGCCUUGUUGCAAGCAGUCCUACGGAGAGGCCCACAUAGUGAGAAACUGAGGCCUUCUGCCAACAGCCAGAGGAGGGAGCUUGCAAGCAGACCCUCCAGCCCCAGCUAAGCUUCAGGUGACUGUCCAGGCAACGGCUGGAGUAAAACCUCACAAGACGUCCAGAGCUAGAGCCACCCAGCUCAGCUGCUCCCAGAUUUCUGACUCUCAGAAACCAUGUGAGAUAAUAAAUGCUUGCUGUUUUAAGCUGCUAAAUUUUGAAGUAGUUUUUUACACAGCAAGAGAUAAUUAUUUUAUUUACUAAUACAUAUUCGUGAAUGCCAUCCAACAUAGAAAGAAUGAAGCAGUUCCAUUCUUCUUCUUGGAUUUUUAGCUAAAGUAUUUUGUUGUUACUACGACAGACACCUGGGUGGUAAUUGCUAUUUCAAGCUGGACACCUGGGCUUUUUCUCCACUACAAAGAACCUCUCAGUUACUCCCAGAGAAAGUAAUGAUUUCACUUCUUGGAGUAAGUGUUUGUGCUAAUUAGCAGCAUGACGAAAUACAGCAUGUCAAGCAAAAAACUAUUUGUGCUUACCUUCCAACACAUUCUCUUACAGAGAGGACAUGAUGCCAGAGAAAUAAACAUUAAACUACUGUACACUAUCAGACUUUGCAAUGUAGCCUUACUUCACUAGCUUUGUAUUUCAAUCCCUAAUUACUAAACUGAUAAGAUUUCUGAUUAUUUUGGUUGAAAGAAAAAGCCCUCCUUUUGUCUCAACAAAAUUAGAACAUGAAAGAAAAAAAUAAAUACAUGAAAUUACCUAGAGAAUAUAUUAUUUAUAUCUGCUUCUAAGAAAUUCAGCAGGGGAUUUUUAAAAUGCUGGAUUAGUAAUUUUAUAAUCUUUUAUAUUCAAAUAUACUUCCAUGAAAUGUUAGC
rnacentral:lncRNA from 1 species